UUUUGCUUUAUAUAAUAGUAUCAAGAAGUGAUGGUUAGAAUUAAGCUUGAUUAUGAGAUAUAAAAACUAAAAUAAUCAUAGCUUACAUCCAAUAAAAUUUUCUCUCAUGUGUGCAGUGACUGAAGGUAGGUGGCCCAGAACUGGCAUGACCAGGUUCCACUGAGAUCACUGUCCCAUCAUACCAGAUGGAGGCCUUCAUCCUUGUGGUCCAGGCAGGCAGUGUCACCAUCCCAGGCAGAAUGGAGAAAGGGGGAAAGUGAGGGCAAAGGGCACGCGGCCACUGUCUUAAGGAAGGUUUUGAGAGGCUGUGGGAUUACUUUACUUACAUGCUGCUGGCUAGCAUUUAUUCAUGUGCCUUCAACUCAAGCUCCAGGCAGGCAAGGCAGGGAAAUGCAGUCUUUACACUGGGCACCCUGUGUCCUGUCAAAAAUUCUAUUGUGUUGGGGGAAAGUGAGAAAGGAUGUAGUGGGGGCAAUGAGCCGUUUAUGCCACACUGAACUUUCAUGCACACAUCAAAAUUCACUUUGGAAAAGUAUCAGAACACUCUAAAAAAAAAAUCACUUUUUUUUCAGAAAAGGAAAAAAAUUUAAAGAUUUGAUUUAUUUAUUCAUGAGAGACACAGAGAGAGGAAGAGAGAGAGAGAGAGGAAGAGAAGGCUCCUUGUGGGGAGCCUGACAUGGGACUCGAUCCCAGGACCCCAUGAGCCAAAGGCAGAUGCUCAACUACUGAGCCACCCAGGUGUCCCAGAAAAGAAAAUUAAGCUCUACUGUUUGAUUGACCUGAUGCAUUAUUUAAAUAAUAGCACAGAUGCCCUAAAUAGCACAAAUACCCUUCUUGAAUAGAAAAACAUAUUUAAUAUUUCCACAUGGCUUAGCAAGAACAUGUCAUCUCCUGCUGCAACUCUAGCAGCAAAGGGAGUCUUUUCACUUUGUGCUCCUAGUAGGUUUCCCUGAUUUGAGUUCUUCAGGAGAAUAGUCUGGAGUGGAAACAGGCAGGCCUAGAGACCGUGGGGUUGUGGAUUACCGAGCAGCAGAAGAAAAGUGAGCAGGACUAGAAAGCAUGAAGUGGGGCUGGAGGGGGCAGGGAGAUUCAGCAGGGAAGUUUCCCUCUGUCUCUCAUCACUUCGUUUCAUCACCAUGAAAUGUGCUUUCUGCUCUAAAUGAUUCCUGGGCCACUGUGAAAAGCAGGGGAAUGAAACCAGAGGCAUAAGCUGAAGGCUAGGGAACCCCUGGUGGCAGCCAGAUCCACAGGAGGUUGAGUGCCCAGGUACCAAGCGUAAUGAACAUAUCAGCUCAUUGUAUUCCCUGAACAAUCCUAUGAAGCAGGAAUUGUCAACUCCAUUUUACCAAUGACUCAGAAAGUUAAAGUAAACUCCCCGGAGUCACAAAGCCAGUAAGAGCUAAAGUCAGAAUUCAAAUCCAUGUUGUGUCUACUGGCUAAACUGAUGUCUCACUGAGGAGAUGAGAUUAUCCAAACACCUCAGGCUCAGGCCCCAUGUUCUUCUAAGAUGAUCUGGUCAAUGAAGGUAUCACUUGGGAUCCGUAAUUACUAAAGGCGAGGAAUGGUAGAUGUCAAGAAAAGGAGAAUGAAAAGAGGCACGGUACUUCUGAAAUAAUUUUAUUCCACCUCUACUGUUCUGCUGAGCAUCAGUUUUAUCAGCUUCUUUCAUUAUUCUCCUUGAAAUCAUGAUUAUUGGCUUAACUGCAGUUGCCAGCUCUUCCAUCAUUCUUUAGCUACAAACCCUCCUGGACUUUGUCCCAAAUGUGAUGCAACAGCUGUGCAAGACAAACUUAUUCUUUCCCCGGCAUUGUUUGAGACAAUACUUCUUUUAUAGGCCAAAUGAAGUCUGGUUGCUAAAAAUGUUGAAUUCUUUAAAAAAAAAUAUUGAUUUUUUUCUUCUCUGAGUGUCCCUACAGAUGGCAGGCAAUGUUGGUUGACUACUCUGUAGCCCCUUUUGUCCUUGCUCAUUAAAACCUUGAUUUUGUUCAAGUAUUCCCCAUCCAUGCAUCUUGGUUCAGCCUUAGGUGAAAUGUGACUGGUUUGAAAAAGGAACAGUAGUUUCAUUUUUCUCACUAGGAAUUGAUUUCAGAAUGGACAGCUGAUAGAAUUCUGGGUAAUAUGAAAUGGGGGAUAUCUGACGGAAGCCUCUGGGAAAUUUUUCUUUACUUAUUAAAAAAAUGGAUGUAAGAAAAGAAUGCUUGCUCUUCUGGCCUUUAGACAUGGUCCUAUAAAGAUGACAUGUGUGGAGACGUCGUAACCAUUUUGUCAACAUGGAGAAAUCAACUAGGUGACAAAAGCAAAGGUGCUGAGGAUGGCAGAGCAGAAAGAUUGAAAGAAUCUAGACUCUUGGGGAUCCCUGGGUGGUGCAGCGGUUUGGCGCCUGCCUUUGGCCCAGGGUGCGAUCCUGAAGACCCGGGAUCGAAUCCCAUAUCGGGCUCCCGGUGCAUGGAGCCUGCUUCUCCCUCUGCCUAUGU
rnacentral:lncRNA from 1 species